ACGCUACCAAUUUAGGUGAAUACGGGAAAUGAUUGGGAAAAUAUAAGAUGCCAUAUACUAAGAGGUAAGGUGUGAGAAGUGGAGCAGAGCAUCACCAGGGCCAACAGCAGAGACCCUAAGGAGUCGGAAAGGCAUGCUCCUCCUGGACCCCGGUGAAAGCAAGCACGCAAGGCUCCGGCGAUGCGCCCCAACGGCCGGCAGGGGGCGCGCGAACUCAACGUAAAGGCUCACCUGGCGCCGCCCACCAGCCGGACCCCCGGCUGCCAGGGACGCUCUCCAGGACGACCGCAGCUGCUCCGCAGGGAGCGGGGUCUCGACCCAGCACUCUACUCAGCCCUUUACUGGCAUUGAUCCUGACCGACCACAAAGAGGUAGAGGACUAUGGAGAAUCCUUUAGCAUGUUUGGCCAUGGUGGCUUCAGUGGGCUGAAUAGCGGUCCCAGAAUGAGACUGAUUCCUUGCAAGUACCUCUUCACAUCCAGUAUGGAGUCUUCAUUGCUCAGGAGAGUCCUUCCAUCUCCAACCCCUGCACUAAGCCAAUUUCUAGGACUUCCCAAUGCUGACAAAGUCCAGUAAAGAAUUUCUCACAGCCAGUCUUAAUCCAGCCCACCUUUUACACUUGAACAUGUUUAAGAUAUGCUGGAGCAUAUAGUGGAAGACAUCAACAGUCUGCCCUCUGGAACUUGCUGCCAUCCACUGAAACAACAGAAAACAAUUGGAUACAGUUAACUGUCCAUCAGUCCGGGAUUGGUUAAAUAAUUUAUGACACACCCAUUUAUUGGGAGACAAAACAAAGUUCUCUAUUUACUAACACGGGAAGAUCUCCAAAUGAAAAAAAGCUAGGGGCAGAAUAGUGAGUACGGGCUCCUAUCUUUUAUGUAAAAGUAGAAAAAGUAUAAUAAAAGAAUAUAAUUAUAGUCUUACUAGUUUGCA
rnacentral:lncRNA from 12 species